AUGUUAUUUUAAUAAGUACUAAAGUUUAUGUGUCGUGUGGCAUUUAAUCUGACAUUUAGUACCAAUAUUUGCUUGAUGAGAAAGGCCAGCUUCUCAGGAGUUGUGCUCGUAUUGUAUUUGGAGUUUUGAGAACCAGAGGGUUUUUUAAAAAUUAUUUUUUAUUUGGCCGGAGCCUGCGACCGAGUGGGAGUGGAGUAGAGCCGCCCUUGUUGCCGACUCUUUCCUCCUCCCCACGGUCCAGUCAGCGGGUUGAUUAGGCCAUCGGCCCUCAAGCCGAGACUUGUCUCUUAUUUAGUUCUGGGGAGCGCCUGGCCGACAUGAGUGAUGUAGAGGAGAACAACUUCGAGGGCAGAGAGUCUCGCUCUCAGUCAAAAUCUCCAACGGGAACUCCUGCUCGUGUAAAAUCGGAGAGCAGGUCAGGAUCUCGUAGUCCAUCAAGGGUUUCCAAACACUCUGAAUCCCAUUCUCGAUCAAGAUCAAAAUCCAGGUCAAGGUCAAGGAGGCAUUCUCAUAGACGUUACACUCCAUCCAGAUCCCAUUCUCACUCUCAUAGGAGGCGAUCUCGAAGUAGGUCAUACACACCAGAAUACCGGCGUCGAAGGAGCCGAAGUCAUUCUCCAGUGUCUAACCGGAGAAGACUUACAGGCAGCAGGGCAAAUCCUGGUCCCAGUACUUGUCUAGGAGUGUUUGGCCUCAGUUUGUACACAACAGAGAGAGAUCUUCGCGAAGUAUUUUCUCGAUAUGGACCGUUGAGUGGUGUCAAUGUGGUUUAUGACCAGCGAACUGGACGGUCACAGGGAUUUGCUUUUGUUUAUUUCGAGAGAAUAGAUGACUCAAAGGAGGCUAUGGAAAGGGCAAAUGGAAUGGAACUGGAUGGUAGAAGAAUUCGGGUGGAUUAUUCUAUCACCAAGAGAGCACACACACCAACACCAGGCAUAUACAUGGGCAGACCAACUCAGAGUGGCGGCGGUGGCGGCGGCAGCGGGGGCGGCGGGGGUGGCGGUGGAGGAGGCGGCAGACGUCGAGACUCUUACUAUGAUCGAGGAUACGAUUGUGGGUACGACAGAUAUGAAGACUAUGAUUACCGGUACAGAAGAAGAUCACCUUCUCCUUACUACAGUCGAUACAGAUCACGAUCAAGAUCUCGAUCCUACAGCCCAAGACGCUAUUAAUAAGCAGAGCGGUUGCAGUUGAGGACAUCUUUUUCUCUUUUUUUAAAUUCUGGAUUUCCCCAAGCUUCUAAUCCUUCCUACUCCUCAAAAAGAACCCUUAAAAAAAUCUUUGGUUUGUUUAGCAUCUACACUUUGUCAAUUGUAUUGCUAUUUUCCACCCCUUUUAUUAUAUUCUUAAAGAUGUAAUUGUCAUUUUUGAGUAGUUAAACAUCUUGAGUAAAAAAGGAACCCCCAGUGUUAUGCUUUGUAAAUGAUUUUUUUGUUUGUUUUUUGCUUUUAUGGGAAAUUCACUCCUAUCUUAUCAAAAUGAGGAAAGAAAUGAUCUUUUUAAAGCUUCUUUUGUGUUAGAUAUUGUAUUAGACAUUGUAUUAGAGGUCUGCAUUUACUACAAACUCCUUUUUUAACUUUCUUUUGGGGAAGUUAGUAGUAGUUCAGUCAGGUCAAGUUUGUCUGGGGUGGCAUGGAACAGUCAAAUAGUUGAGUGUAGAAAGUUUGAAGCUAUAGAAAAAACGCUUACUUGGUCAUUUCUUUUGAAGAACAGAAUUUUUGAACCCUAAAAAUUACAUCAUUUUUUUUUUUUUAGAAAUGAAAAGCUUGUGGACUCCUGCAAAACAUGUUGUAUUUAAAAUACAUUUGUUGAAACUUAAAAAAAAA